rnacentral:lncRNA from 1 species
AAAAUCCUAAUGUCUAUCUUUUACGUGAUAUACUGUUGUCAUACUCCUUCUACAACUUUGAUCUUGGGUACUGUCAGGUAGUUAACUUUUAUUAUGUUACAAUCUUGCCAUUAAAUAGUCAAUGUGUUUCUGGUAAAUGUGCAAGAAUGCUACCAGUUUUGGGGUUGGAGGCGGGGUGGGUGUUAUAAAUACAUCCUCCGACAAUCAAGAGAUGCUGAUUGUCAAUUAGUGAACAGAAUUUUAUCAUUGAUGUGAAAGCGUAUAAUUUUUUAUGUAUGUGUAUCUGUCUUUGUGGUCUAUUUUCUCAGUAAAUGGAUGGUGAAUCCUAAAACUUCUGGUCCAACAUGAAAUUUAACUUGAUACAGAAAUUAGCAUAUUACUUUACCUGCAAGGAGUUUAAACUUUUAAACAAGGCAGUGUCUACAUUAUAUAAUACAUUCUUUAUGGUAGGUUCAUAUGGUAAAUAAUAUGAGGAAAAUAGAUGAUAUUUUUAAUAAAGAAAUCCUUUCUUCUCAUUCUUUAUGAGCUUACCAUUAUUGGAUUUAUCAAAAUAGUGUUAAUAGAUAUAAUAUAUGUUGUUUGUUUAAAACAAAUGAGCUGAUCGUAGAAAUUUCAUAAGGUUGCAUUUACUACCAUAACUGAUCUAGUUGUCUUCUUCUUGAUUUUCUUGCUCAUAUUAUUGGCACUUGUGAGAGCCUUUUCUCUAUUGAUGCAGUUGUUAGCUCUGUUUCCCACUGUAUGAAACACUGUUUUUCUUGACUUGUAGGGCAUGAGUGAUCUUUUGUCCCCAAUAUUAUUUGUCAUGAGAGAUGAAUCAGAGUCAUUUUGGUGCUUUGUUUUCCUGAUGGAACGCCUUGGACCCAAUUUCAAUCGUGACCAAAGUGGGAUGCACUCUCAACUUUUUGCAUUGUCAAAGGUUUUUUCUCUCUCUCUGUGGGUGGGCGGGUGCGGGUGCGGGUGCGGGUGCGUGUGCGUGUGUGUAUGUGUGGAGGCACGUGUAUGUGGGGGUAGGGCUCUGGCCUCUGAGGGUGCGUGUACCUUGGAAGUUUUAAUGGUUGAAAUUGUUUCUUGAACUUGAUCUUGGUUGCUUAACAGGACAGCCAGGCUGAACAUUAAGUGGUGGUUACAGCACAAAAUUCUUUCCUUUUGGAGUUAUUGCAAUCAAACUUAUUUUGUCCUAGUCCAUGAAAGGAGCUUCAUAUCUAUCUGAAUAGUGAAAAAUUUUGCAAAGUACAGAAUGAUAAUAGUAGGAAUUUGUGCAAAAUUUGGUAGUUAACUAUGUACACUCAAACUACAAAAUAAAUUUACUAGAUUUACUUUUUGACAUCUUUUUUAGCAGCCCUAUAAAGAAUUUUUAUUUUUUUACACCAUUACAUUUUUUAAAUAGAGCAUAUAUGUUUGAUAAUCAUGACUGUCAUACCAAUUUUUGAGGUGUAUAUGCAUUGUUCCUUCCCUGUAGUCUUUUUCUUUUUUUGCUCCAAAUGACAUCCCGGUGACUUUUUCCAGCUUCUUUACGUUGGUGAAUUCUGGCAAUGAAAUAAAUUAUGUUCAGUUUAAUAGAAACCUAACAUUUAUUUGACUUUUAUCAUGCAGCUAGUGGAGUUGUUAGACACUCCAUUGCAUAACUAUUUUAUGCAGAAUGAUUGCUUGAAUUAUUUCUUCUGUUUCCGCUGGAUUCUUAUACAGUUUAAAAGGCAAGUAGACAGCUCCCUGUUUCUUAUUUACUGCGUGCAAUUUAUUGGUGUUGCAAAAUUGUUAUCUUUACAUUGACAUAAUGUGGAUUGUUUAACCAUAAUAUUUUCCCUGCCCCGUAAUAUGGUUUAGAUUGGUUGUCCAAACACUACCAUUCCGUUGCUUUAUUAAUAUUGCGACCAUAAGUAGUUACAAAGUUUGUAUGAAUUUCAAGAAAAUAACACUCUUUGGAGGAUCUUUAUAUCAUACUGAACUGCAUGAUAAAAGAUCACAGAGUUAAAAUGUCAUUUCAGAAUACUGCAUUUGUAGAACACAUAACUGUGUAGUAAUAAUAUGAUUUCAUAUAUCCUUCAUUUUGUCCUGCAGCUGAUUGCCUGAUGUUUCGCAGGGAAUUUGAAUAUGAGAAAACAAUGCGUUUGUGGGAGGUAUUAUGGACACAUUAUCUGAGUGAGCAUCUGCACCUUUACGUAUGUGUUGCUAUCUUAAAGAGAUACCGCAGCAAGAUAAUGGGGGAGCAGAUGGAUUUUGACACUCUCUUAAAAUUUAUCAACGAACUGAGUGGUCACAUCGACCUUGACGCAAUCCUCAGAGAUGCAGAAGCACUGUGUAUAUGUGCUGGUGAAAACGGGGCUGCCUGUAUACCUCCUGGAACUCCACCUUCAUUGCCUCUCGAGGAUCCCAUGGCAUAUCCUCAACUGGAUGAUGAUGUAUUGUAGAUGGCACAUGUAUAAAGAGACAUGCAAUAACGUAUAAUUAGUUUUCAGUGAUUUUUUGAUGUUUAAUAAGUACGCAUUGAUUUGAAUAGAUUGUGUGCUAUACAAGGAAUCUUCUACCUUAUCUUCAAUCUUGGGAGACACUUCCAAGUUCCAUGAUAUGUGGUCAAAGGAAUGUCUUUUCUGUAUGCUUUUGGUUUAGUGUUCUUACCGAUGGCUUUCCAUUUGAAUGUCUGCACUUGCACUGCAUACCAGGAAAUGUUCUGAUAUACUUUCAUAUUUUGAGCUAUUAACAUUCUUCUGAUUAUGCAUUUGCGAUGCAAAUGGACCAAGAGACCGGUGUUUCUCUUUGGUUGAAUAGUUAAUGCAUUUGAAGUCUUAUGCUUCUACUAAAGUGUUAACACUGGUCCAGGCAUUUAAUCCUUUAUUUUAGAAAUUGGAAAUAUCUAGUGCAGCUAGUCAAUGAAUAUCCAGAGAUACAACAUUCUUUUUCUUUUAACUGUCGCAUAGGUGCUGAGUUGCACAGGAACGUCAUAAAUGAGGUGUAUAUGCAUUGUUCCUUCCCUGUAGUCUUUUUCUUUUUUUGCUCCAAAUGACAUCCCGGUGACUUUUUCCAGCUUCUUUACGUUGGUGAAUUCUGGCAAUGAAAUAAAUUAUGUUCAGUUUAAUAGAAACCUAACAUUUAUUUGACUUUUAUCAUGCAGCUAGUGGAGUUGUUAGACACUCCAUUGCAUAACUAUUUUAUGCAGAAUGAUUGCUUGAAUUAUUUCUUCUGUUUCCGCUGGAUUCUUAUACAGUUUAAAAGGCAAGUAGACAGCUCCCUGUUUCUUAUUUACUGCGUGCAAUUUAUUGGUGUUGCAAAAUUGUUAUCUUUACAUUGACAUAAUGUGGAUUGUUUAACCAUAAUAUUUUCCCUGCCCCGUAAUAUGGUUUAGAUUGGUUGUCCAAACACUACCAUUCCGUUGCUUUAUUAAUAUUGCGACCAUAAGUAGUUACAAAGUUUGUAUGAAUUUCAAGAAAAUAACACUCUUUGGAGGAUCUUUAUAUCAUACUGAACUGCAUGAUAAAAGAUCACAGAGUUAAAAUGUCAUUUCAGAAUACUGCAUUUGUAGAACACAUAACUGUGUAGUAAUAAUAUGAUUUCAUAUAUCCUUCAUUUUGUCCUGCAGCUGAUUGCCUGAUGUUUCGCAGGGAAUUUGAAUAUGAGAAAACAAUGCGUUUGUGGGAGGUAUUAUGGACACAUUAUCUGAGUGAGCAUCUGCACCUUUACGUAUGUGUUGCUAUCUUAAAGAGAUACCGCAGCAAGAUAAUGGGGGAGCAGAUGGAUUUUGACACUCUCUUAAAAUUUAUCAACGAACUGAGUGGUCACAUCGACCUUGACGCAAUCCUCAGAGAUGCAGAAGCACUGUGUAUAUGUGCUGGUGAAAACGGGGCUGCCUGUAUACCUCCUGGAACUCCACCUUCAUUGCCUCUCGAGGAUCCCAUGGCAUAUCCUCAACUGGAUGAUGAUGUAUUGUAGAUGGCACAUGUAUAAAGAGACAUGCAAUAACGUAUAAUUAGUUUUCAGUGAUUUUUUGAUGUUUAAUAAGUACGCAUUGAUUUGAAUAGAUUGUGUGCUAUACAAGGAAUCUUCUACCUUAUCUUCAAUCUCGGGAGACACUUCCAAGUUCCAUGAUAUGUGGUCAAAGGAAUGUCUUUUCUGUAUGCUUUUGUUUAGUGUUC